rnacentral:rRNA from 1 species
AAGUCGUAACAAGGUUUCCGUAGGUGAACCUGCGGAAGGAUCAUUACAGAGUUCAUGCCCUCACGGGUAGAUCUCCCACCCUUGAAUAUUAUACCUUUGUUGCUUUGGCGGGCCCGCUCACGCCACCGGCUUCGGCUGGUGAGUGCCCGCCAGAGGACCCCAAACUCUGAAUUACAGUGUCGUCUGAGUACUAUAUAAUAGUUAAAACUUUCAACAACGGAUCUCUUGGUUCUGGCAUCGAUGAAGAACGCAGCGAAAUGCGAUAAGUAAUGUGAAUUGCAGAAUUCAGUGAAUCAUCGAAUCUUUGAACGCACAUUGCGCCCCUUGGUAUUCCGGGGGGCAUGCCUGUUCGAGCGUCAUUAUAACCCUCAAGCCUAGCUUGGUAUUGGGGCCUGCCUCCGGGCAGCCCUUAAAAUCAGUGGCGGUGCCGUCUGGCUCUAAGCGUAGUAAUUUCUCUCGCUAUAGCGUCCGGCGGUUGCUGGCCAAAACCCCCAAUUUUCUAUGGUUGACCUCGGAUCAGGUAGGGAUACCCGCUGAACUUAAGCAUAUCAAUAAGCGGAGGAAAAGAAACCAACAGGGAUUACCUCAGUAACGGCGAGUGACGCGGUAACAGCUCAAAUUUGAAAUCUGGCUCUUCUAGGGUCCGAGUUGUAAUUUGUAGAAGAUGCUUCGGGUGUGGCUCCGGUCUAAGUUCCUUGGAACAGGACGUCAUAGAGGGUGAGAAUCCCGUAUGUGACUGGUUGCCUUCGCCUAUGUGAAGCUCCUUCGACGAGUCGAGUUGUUUGGGAAUGCAGCUCUAAAUGGGUGGUAAAUUUCAUCUAAAGCUAAAUAUUGGCCAGAGACCGAUAGCGCACAAGUAGAGUGAUCGAAAGAUGAAAAGCACUUUGGAAAGAGAGCUAAACAGUACGUGAAAUUGUUGAAAGGGAAGCGCUUGCGACUAGACUUGCACGCAGUUGAUCAUCCGGUGUUCUCACCGGUGCACUCUGCUGCGUUCAGGCCAGCAUCGGUUUCGGUGGUUGGAUAAAGGCCUUGGGAAUGUGACUCCUCUCGGGGAGUGUUAUAGCCCUCGGUGCAAUGCAGCCUACCGGGACCGAGGACCGCGCUUCGGCUAGGAUGCUGGCGUAAUAGUCGUAAGCGAC